CAGCCGCCGCGGUAAUACAGAGGGUGCGAGCGUUAAUCGGAUUUACUGGGCGUAAAGCGUGCGUAGGCGGCUUUUUAAGUCGGAUGUGAAAUCCCUGAGCUUAACUUAGGAAUUGCAUUCGAUACUUGGAAGCUAGAGUAUGGGAGAGGAUGGUAGAAUUCCAGGUGUAGCGGUGAAAUGCGUAGAGAUCUGGAGGAAUACCGAUGGCGAAGGCAGCCAUCUGGCCUAAUACUGACGCUGAGGUACGAAAGCAUGGGGAGCAAACAGGAUUAGAUACCCCGGUAGUCCCUGUCUCUUAUAC
rnacentral:rRNA from 1 species